UACAGAGGGUGCAAGCGUUGUUCGGAAUUAUUGGGCGUAAAGCGCGUGUAGGCGGCUUUGCAAGUCGGGUGUGAAAGCCCUCAGCUUAACUGAGGAAGUGCGCCCGAAACUGCAUGGCUUGAGUACCGGAGAGGGUGGCGGAAUUCCCCAAGUAGAGGUGAAAUUCGUAGAUAUGGGGAGGAACACCAGUGGCGAAGGCGACUUCCUGGCCUGUUCUUGACGCUGAGGCGCGAAAGCUAGGGGAGCAAACGGG
rnacentral:rRNA from 1 species